rnacentral:rRNA from 1 species
GUGGGGAAUAUUGGACAAUGGGCGAAAGCCUGAUCCAGCCAUGCCGCGUGUGUGAAGAAGGUCUUCGGAUUGUAAAGCACUUUAAGUUGGGAGGAAGGGUAGUAACCUAAUACGUUGCUACUUUGACGUUACCGACAGAAUAAGCACCGGCUAACUUCGUGCCAGCAGCCGCGGUAAUACGAAGGGUGCAAGCGUUAAUCGGAAUUACUGGGCGUAAAGCGCGCGUAGGUGGUUCAGUAAGUUGGAAGUGAAAUCCCCGGGCUCAAGCUGGGAACUGCUUUCAAAACUGCUGAGCUAGAGUACGGUAGAGGGUGGUGGAAUUUCCUGUGUAGCGGUGAAAUGCGUAGAUAUAGGAAGGAACACCAGUGGCGAAGGCGACCACCUGGACUGAUACUGACACUGAGGUGCGAAAGCGUGGGGAGCAAACAGGAUUAGAAACCCUUGUAGUCC